UGGGGAAUAUUGGACAAUGGGCGAAAGCCUGAUCCAGCCAUGCCGCGUGAGUGACGAAGGCCUUAGGGUUGUAAAGCUCUUUUGGCGGGGAAGAUAAUGACGGUACCCGCAGAAUAAGCUCCGGCUAACUUCGUGCCAGCAGCCGCGGUAAUACGAAGGGAGCUAGCGUUGUUCGGAAUCACUGGGCGUAAAGCGCACGUAGGCGGAUUUGUCAGUCAGGGGUGAAAUCCCGGGGCUCAACCUCGGAACUGCCCUUGAUACAGCAAGUCUUGAGUUCGAGAGAGGUGGGUGGAAUUCCUAGUGUAGAGGUGAAAUUCGUAGAUAUUAGGAAGAACACCGGUGGCGAAGGCGGCCCACUGGCUCGAUACUGACGCUGAGGUGCGAAAGCGUGGGGAGCAAACAGGAUUAGAU
rnacentral:rRNA from 1 species